CGCCGAACGAGCCGCUCCCGAUCUUCCGGCCCAGACGGAACUUGCUCCCGACGCGAGGCUCCAUCGAUCACGCCGAAACUCAGCGAUUCUCGCGAGAUCACUUCACGAAGACGAAGUCGACGCGGGGAGGUUGAGAUCGAUGCUGGAUCUAGGGUUAGGGUUUCGGAGGAGGAAAAUGUGUGGGGGAUGAGGUGGGUUACGG
rnacentral:misc_RNA from 1 species